rnacentral:ncRNA from 1 species
GUUGACGCAAUGUGAUUUCUGCCCAGUGCUCUGAAUGUCAACGUGAAGAGAUUCAUCAAAGCGCGGGUAAACGGCGGGAGUAACUAUGACUCUCUUGUUGUUCAAUGAGAUUGUUCAAUAAAGUAAU